CGUAGGUCCCGAGCGUUGUCCGGAUCUAUUGGGCGGUAAAGACGAGCGCAGGCGGUUAGAUAAGUCUGAAGUUAAAGGACUGUGGCUUAACCAUAGUACGCUUUGGUAAACUGUUUAACUUGAGUGCAAGAGGGGAGAGUGGAAUUCCAUGUGUAGCGGUGAAAUGCGUAGAUAUAUGGAGGAACACCGGUGGCGAAAGCGGCUCUCUGGCUUGUAACUGACGCUGAGGCUCGAAAGCGUGGGGGAGCAAACAGGAUU
rnacentral:rRNA from 1 species